rnacentral:rRNA from 1 species
UACGUAGGGUGCAAGCGUUGUCCGGAAUUAUUGGGCGUAAAGGGCUCGUAGGCGGUCCAUCGCGUCGGGAGUGAAAAGCUGGGGCUCAACCCCAGUCCUGCUUCCGAUACGGGUGGACUAGAGGUAUGCAGGGGAGAACGGAAUUCCUGGUGUAGCGGUGGAAAUGACGCAGAUAUCAGGAGGAACACCGGUGGCGAAGGCGGGUCUCUGGGCCGAUACUGACGCUGAGGAGCGAAAGCGUGGGGAGCGAACAGG